rnacentral:lncRNA from 1 species
AUGGACAACCAGGAACAAGAUAUUCCAGACCCCUUUCUUGCAUUAGAAAUAGAGUUAUCCCGGUUAAAUGAAAACGCAGAUCAUUCACAGAAUACACCUCCGCAGAAUCAUGAACACCCUGAGGUGAUCAAUAAUAAUAACGAUCCUCUAGAACUGAUUGAUUUGGCUCUUGCACAACUAGCCCGUAGUGAAAGUGCCCCCCAAAAUAACACUCAGAAUUUAGGAUUCGAGCAUGUUGAGGCUCAUUCUCAGCAAAACCUUGCCUCUUCUGACCCUUUCGCGGCUCUUAAUAGCGCUUUAGAAGCCUUAGCACAAAUACAGCACGAGGUUCAAAUACCUCCAGAAUUAUUGAGUCAAAUAAAUAGGUUAAAUCAAAAUAUUUUUAAUGAUAGUCAGCAUUUGCUCAGUUCUACACCACGCGGGGAGUCUGUUAACCACAGUCCACCCCUACCGUUGAUAAACGGUUUCAAUGAGUCUAAUCAACAACAAUCGUCUGAGAUUGUCUCUGUUAACCCCAUGAAUAAUGUGUCCGAUCACCCCUUUCAACAAGGGGGUAAUCCAGAGCAGGGGUGUUCCAACAAUUCAUCACAGCCGCAUAUAAUUGUCAGAAAUAAAUUUAAUAACGUUCAAAUUAGAGAAAUUUUGAAUUUCCCUCCUCCAAACGAUAUACCUGAUUACGCCCGAUAUUAUGAAGGUAUAAUGGCCGGGGCCCGUGAAAUUUCAGACAGGAUUUUCUCACAUGCACGUCCAGGUGAUCUUAUACAAUUAGAGUUGAUAGGGCCUCAGCUGCAGAAUAAUGUUUCAGUCAUUUUAAGGGACAAUUGUGAUUUAACUGAAUUUGAAAAUCUGUUCCUGAGAACCGUUCAGUCAAAUUGGUCCGUUAUGUGUGAAGGCUCGCUCGAGCUUGUAGCUCAGAUCGUUAGACCCCCGUCAGGUAGUGGAAAAAGGAUGCUUAAACACAUACUUGACAAUGAAAUUGUCAGAAAGAAAAGGCGCUUUUUAUAUAUUGUUCAUAACCCCGCAAAUAAGUUAUGUUUGCUAUAA